GCUCGGUACGUGUCACGAGCGGCAGCCCCGUUCAGCCGCUCCCGGAGGGCGCGCGGCUCUGCCCGGCCGUGACCGGGGCCCGCAGGGGUCUCUCGCUCGCCCGCUCGCCCCGAAAGGAGCCGGCCCCGAGCCGGCGCGUCCCGCCCCGCCCGGCCCUCGGCGCCCUCGCGAGCUGAGCGCGGCCCGGCCAGCAGGGGGCGCUGGCGCUCACCGGCUGGGCGCGGGGGCGGUCCGGCGCGGGGGCGGGGCCGGUGGGGGCCGGUCCUUCCGGCCGCCCUCUAAGGGCCGCCCCGCGGGGCCCGGGCUUCCGGUGGCGCGUGCGCGGCGGAGCGGAGGUGGGAGAGGUGCGUGGGGCGGCCGGGUCGCGAGGGGUCUCUUUGCGGUGCCGGGGCCCCUCUGCGGCCCGGCGUGGGAAGCCCGUGGCCGGCGGAGACUGCUCGGAGCUGGGCGGGGAGCGCCGCGGCAGUCCGGCCGCAGGCAGCCAUCCCCUGCGGUGGCCGGCAUCCCCUCGGGACUCCUGGAGGCCUGGCGGCUCCCGAUCCUCGUCUGCGGCAGCCGCCUGAGAGAGCAGCGCGGCCGUAGCCGGGGGCCGGAGAGCGCUGGUGGGUGCAGAUGGAUGAGUCGUGCAGGGCAACGGAGGAGAGCCCAGGGGAGCGCUGUAAGAAGGUGACAGCCCUGCGAUGCUGCGGUGCCUGCGAGGUGAUGCCGCCGUGCUCGUUGCUGCUUCCUGGUAAGGAAAGGCCUCCUCCGCUCCUGCUGCAGCGUGGUGGUGUGUCGGACACGAUUCCCUGUGUCGGGUGAGGCCUAGGGCUGCCGGUGAGGUGAGCGAGCCCCUUUGGUGGGUGCCGGGGUGUCUCCUUGUGUGCCUGCACUACUGGGGCUGGUGGGAUGGGAAGCUUCAAACGACCUGCCGAGGCAGGCUUCUGGUAUGCUAAAGGCGAGCGGGUGAGGGCAGCCCCAGGAGUUACCCGGGAGCUGAUAGAAGGGAAGAGGGAAAGGAGGAGGAGGAUGAUGACAUUUUCCCCCUGCCCAGGGUGCAGAAGAUAGCCGACUCCCCAGCUCACCAGAGCUCCCCCUCAGCCUCCCCUGGCCCCACUUGCCCCGUGCUCCUGCCCCCAGCUCCGGCACGAGCGAGCUAGGCUACGUGCCUAGGAAGCCUCAUCUCGUAAGAGCUGUGAG